UUUUUUUUCUUUUUCAUUAUAAAAAGUAAACUUUUUAUUGACAGAGACAGGAAAAGCAGCAAAGUCCCCAAUACCUGAAAUUUGUUUGAAGGAGAACGCUAUUCUGUUCCAUCACAUUCUGUUCUCAUAGGCAAUACAAUUAAUACAGGAGUGUUGGUGUUUACAUCCUCCUCAUAAAUUUAAUCAGCUUCCAAUUAUAAAAAGAAAAUAUCCCAAACUGUCCAACUACUUAAUGAAAACCACUUCAACUAGCUACACUUUUUAAAUCUACACCUUAUCCUAUUUGCACACUGUAUUUAUUUUGAUUUUCAAACCUUCAGUCACCUACACUCAACAAUAAAUCUAAUUUUCUACAGCCAACAAACAUUACUACAUCACAUCUGCUACACAGAAGAGAUGAGAGCCAAAAAUACCAGUCCUGAUGAUUGCUGUACUUUUGGCCUAAAUUUGUAUAUAAAAGUAAAUUGGAUCAUGAUUGUUUCUUUCAAAGUCAAAUAAAUAUGGCUCCAUGCAUUCACUGAACAAAUAAUUUAGUGAAAGCCAACUAUGUGUCAAGCACUGAAUUCAAUCAUUAAUACCUUAUUCUAUUGUAAAAAAAAUUACACAUUUUCCAAAAUCCACAAGCUAGCUAUAAUAUAACGCUUCUCCAAACACCUUUUUUUUCAAUAAAGAGCCAUUUUGGAUCCUUCAUGCCAGUAAAUUAAUUGGUAAAGAAGCAUUGUCAAACCUAACCAUUCUGAUCCCAACUUGCAUGUUGGCUGCUCGCUUUUCCUACCUCACUGUGGCUCUUUUCCUACUUCAUUGUGACCUCUAGUUUAUUUAAAAAUCCACUUUCUUUAAACCAUCAUCUCUUCUCUUCCUUCACUUCCUUCCUUAUUUAUCUCAUAGCAUAUGUCCUUUUCCAGCAAAUCUUUGGCUAAUACUCAAAAUUCCUCUGCUUGACUGACUUAUUUUAUUUUGUCUUUUGUUGCCUUUUCUCGAGCUGCUCCUACCACGUAUGGAGGUUCCCAGGCUAGGGAUCUAAUCAGAGCUGUAGCCACCAGCCUAUGCCAGAGCCACAGCAACGUGGGAUCUGAGUUGUGUCUGCGACCUACACCACAGCUCACGGCAAUGCCGGAUCCUUAACCCACUGAGCAAGGCCAGGGAUCGAACCUGCAACCUCAUGGUUCCUAGUUGGAUUCAUUAACCACUGUGCCAUGACAGGAACUCCUUGACUGACUUGUUAUGAUAAGCUAUGGCAGUCAGGGGUCAAUCAGCAAAUAGUAUCACUAGGAAAAUUAUAGAAGACUUGACCUUAGGAAAGUUGUUUUAAUAGUUUACAUAUGACUAUUACUUCUGCUUCAACUCCUAAGCCUAGUCCAGAAACUGAAGAAGUUGAAGCUGGAGAUCCAGCAGGAGCUCUAGAACCUGUGCAUCUGGCUGCUGCCCAUGCCAAUAAAAUCAGAUAUUCUAUCAAUGACCACAAACUCAUGCACGUGAGUUGUAACAGCUCCUGCAGCCACCACACUGACCAUCUAUGCAUCAAAAGAAGGUAACUCUGAUUCCCUUUGACUUUCAAAAUCUACUGUAAAAUGUUUCUCACAGCUCAUGCUAACAGAGACCUAUGCAGGAAAGAAAAUACCGGUCCAACUUAGCUAAUGCCAUGCAAAUUCACCAGUCUUCACUCUUUGUCAAUCUGGCAUCAUAUUCACCUCUUUUAACAAUACUGAACUUCCAAUGAAGACAACAGCAAAUUUAUGCUUCCACCUCAAUUACCCCUCAUGAAAUCAAAAUACAUUAUUAUUCUCUGUAAAAGAGGAUACAAAGUUUUUCAUGCAAAUUUAAGUGGUAUUCCUUCCUCUUCUUGCUGAGAUUAAUUCCUUUUGACAGCCUAGAACUUAAAUACUAAGACAUUAAGGUUAAAUAGUAUUAAUACAGCUUAUGUUGGAGUGCCCUUGGUGGCUCAGUAGGUUAAAGGGCCAGCAUUAUCACUGCUGUGGCUUGGGUCACUGCUGUGGUGCAGGUUCAAUCUCUGGUCCCAGAACAUCCACAUGCCUCAGGCAUGGCUUAGCAAAAAAAAGACAGCUUAUAUUAAUGGUAGAGAAAUUGGAGAAGAGAAGAAAAAAUUAUUAGUAUAUACAAGUGACAUUUAUAUCAAAAUUGAGAAAAAUUCCCAUAAUUAUUAUAAUCCUUGUUUCUACAAUGGUUCAUGUAAUCAAAGUUAGUAUUUACAACUGCCUUCUUCUCCUAUCCACUUCAUGUCCCCUUUGCCUCCAGCAAGCUCCUCAGUUGGUCAUAAUUCCUUGUAUGGAAAGGUGACCCAAUCCUUCACCCCUAAGGGAUCUAGAGCAUUGGUAUCCUGUCUGUUCGGGGUUGUAGUUUCCCGGUGACUUUAAUCAGAGGAUACAGGAGUAGUAAGUGGGACCUCAGGGGAUAUCCUGCAUUCCAAAAAUACUCUUUAUCCCCAUUAGAUAGAGUCAAUCUAAUAUUCUCUUUAUAGUCAGAAUCAAUCAUCUCAACCAGUAGCAUGAAACCCUUCUUUGCUUAUUGAUUUACUAGCCUUAAGAGUCCACAGUGGUCAAGUGGCAGACACAACUUCCAACUUAAUGCAAUCAUGCUGUAUUCUCUGAUGAAGGCAUCUCUUGCUUGAGAACUAAAACUUCCAUUAAAUCCUAAAAUUGCAGAAAAGGGACACACACACACAAAAAAAAUAUUUCCUAUGGUUAAGAGUAAAAGAAUCUACCCCCAUUUCUACCCUUUGAUUCCCAGAACUAUGAAUACUAGCUAUGGAAGAAACAGCACCAUAUAUCACUGAUUCUGAACACACAUCGUUUCAUAAGAGAUUUAUCAUAGACCUAGUGGUGUUGCCACCUAGCUGGCACCAUAACAGAGCUUUAAAAAGUCAUUCCACUAUUCUAUCAGGCCAGCUGCUUCAGGAUAAGGGGAAUGAGGUAAGAACAGAGAAUCAUCUAAGCAUGAGCACAGAACUUCAUUUUCUGUAUGGAUCAGUGGUAUACGAAAUGCCAUGAUUAUUAACAAGACAUUUGAUAAGUUCAUGGACAGUAGUUUUCGCAGAAAUAUUGCAGGAAAAAAAAAAGUUAAAUCUGGAGUUCCCGUCGUUGCUCAGUGGUUAACGAACCCAACCAGUAUUCAUGAGGACACGGGUUCAGUCCUUGAUCUCGCUCAGUGGGUUAGGGAUCUGGUGUUGCUGUGAGCUGCCUAAUCUAAUGAGAACAAAUGUUAACUCUUUCGUGAUGGUUCUAAGUAACCAACCUCCCACCAGGUAGUUGGCAAAUGCUCUCAAGAAAGGAUGUCAUCCUAGGGGCUCAGCGUUGGUCUCUGCUGCUGACAGGUUGAAUACUCAAUGGUGUCUGAAGUCGAGUGGGCCUUACUGAUUAGAAUACCAUGUUGCUGAACCCAUGUAUAAUCUCCAUUUAUGUCACCAUUCUUACUUUGUUCAUUAGCCUAUUAAGCAAGAACAGGGGUGUUUGCUUUAAGAGGCUGACUUACGUCGAGAGAAUAGGUCAUGCUGCCUACCUAUUAUUACAGUUCUCCUCCACAGAAAUGGUUCUUUGGUGAUCAUUCACAUGGGAUACAAGUACAGGCAUUCUCUGCCUAUGAUGAGAGGUCUCAUACUUUUUCCCCUAGGCUUUGUGUCACUGAUUUUCCAGUCAUGUUCCUUCUAAGCUCCUAACCCCAUCAAGCCAAAUUAUUAACUUUCCAUGCAAUAACAUAGAUCCUUAUCUUCAGCCAUCUCUUUUUCUAGCCAAAAUGAAGAACGAGGUCCACAAAACGGGCUGGAGGUCUGCCAGCUGGGAAGAUCUUCCUCCUCCAGUGACAUUCAGAGCCUCCCCCAAAGUGCACAGCCAUCCACAUUUUGAUGGUAUCAGCAUGAAGCACUGUCUUCUAAGUUAACUGGCCCUGGGAAAUUUCCCAUUCAAUCAUCAAUUCAGGCUGAGAGGAAAGAAGCAGUGGAGGAGGAGUCUUGGGCCCAUGCCUUCAGUACCUGCUUAUGCCCAACCUCAAUAAAAACAAAUUCUGCUUGAUGAUGAAGUGUUACUAUGCUCAGCAACUUAAAUCUUUUUUCCUUUUGAGAAACAGCUUACCCACAGACCAUCAAGUUAUCAGGCAACCUGAGCCUCCCAUCAUAAAUUUGGUCACAUACCCAUAAACACCCACUUUAUGAUGGGAAGAUCAGGUUCCAAGGUAACUGGGUGGCCGUAAUCAAGAUGUUUCUCAAAAUGAGAACAGCUAUCUACAGAAGACGGCGUACCUUUGCUCCAAAGUCCAAAAGGUCACUGUGCUAUGAUUUACCUACAGGAUCCUGCCAAAGGCCCCCUACCACCACCCUAUCUACCACUGAUACUUCAAGCACCGUCAUAUAUCCUGUUAUUUGCCCAGGUGGCAGAAUAACUUUCAGAGAAGUCUAAACUUGUUAUAGGGCUUUCUCUAUCUCUUGGCAUCUUUCAAAACUAAGAGCUCUUCAUAUCUCCCAGUAACUGGAUCAGAAAUAGCACAGUGCCUAACCCUAAUCUGUUACCUCUAAAGUCCAAAGAGGUUUUCUAGGCAUCAUACCUCUUUUUUCAUGGUAGAAAAACCUUUUCCUUAGGCCCAGAAAAGAUAUCUGGGGAUAUCCCAGACACAGGAUUCCUAAGAAAUUUCACUGUAGUGGCCUUUCACCGAAUUAUGUGGGAUUUAUCUCCCACCCUCUGGCAUGUAUGUACCUAGAUCAUUACUAUUCCCUAUUGAAUAAUCCAAUCAGCACUUCUCAUCAAUGGAAUGACUCAGUGUAAUGCCCUAUGGAAUGGGGAGGCAAUCAAGGUCCCUGAAGACAGGAUUAUGACAAAAGGCAGGAGAGCUGAAAGAGCACGCGCGCACGCGCGCGCACACACACACACACACACACACACACACACAGAGUGAAGUUGUAUUGCUACCCUGUCAGCUAAAAGAAAAUUCCGUCAUAUGGUCUUUAAUAACAGGUAUAGAGAAAUCAUCAUUUGACAUGUUUAAUAGCUGCAUACCAGGUUCCAGGAUAUGGGUUGAUUUGUUUCAAUAUUAAAGCAUAAUCUAUAAUAGUACCUGAUUAUACUUGCAAUAAUCACUGUCAUUCCCCAAGAUCCACCUGUCUUCUGCACAGGCCAUUCAGCUAAGUUGAAUGAGGAUAUGUUAGGAACCACCAACCUUCCUCUUUCAAGUAUUUGAUGAGGACAUUCAUCUUUGCGGCUUCUCUGGGAAUACAGUAUUACUUUUUGGUUUCGUACUUUGGUAGGUGGAGACAGUUCAGGUGACCUAAACUGGGCUUUCCUACCACAGAUCAAGGAACAUAUGUGGGAAUUCUACCAUUGUCUAAGUAUGCCCAUGCAAGUCAUACCUUAUGGAACUGAGGAAUAACACCACAAGGUAGGUUUAGAGACUCACAAGGCCUACUGUUUAGUCAACAAAAGUCAAAACUCCAUUGAUCACCUGACCUUAUUAAGCCCCAAAUCCCAUUGAUGAACUCUAAUGGCAUUUAGGAUCUUGAUGAAAUAGUGUCAAUUUAAAGCCAUGUCCAGAAAUCCCUGAAAAUCUGAUUAUCUACUCCUCCCCAAUGCACAAUCAUGCAGGGAAAUGGUCACAGGGCCUCCCUCGGGAAGAUGGGAAGGAAUAGUUACAUUAUACAUUCUGUGUUGUGUAGCAAGGUCCUUUGUCACUGAGGCCCAGCACCCCCUAUCCACACAAAGGCCCUGGGUCAAUGAAUCUGUGUGAGUCUGGGAAUGGGCUGCAGGAUCAUUCUCUUCUCCAUCACUAAGCUCUGUCGACUCCCCAGUGUCAUGCCUAGGUGUCUCGUCCUCUCACUCUGCACUCUCACCAUAAUAAAAUUCAUCUACAUGGUGGCUUCAAUUACUACCUAUCAUCAAAUGCUCUACAAGCAGUCUCCAAUGUCAGCCACUCCUCAGCUGCGGCUGUCUAUAUAAGCACCUACCAAAAUACACCUCAAAUUCAGCAAGUUUGACUCUAAAUGCUUCUCGACUCCAGAGCUCCACAUUAGAGCCAAAGACGCCACCAUCUAUCCAUUGGAGAAAAUCCCAGUCCUAAGAGCCAGCCCCAACACCUACCUCCACCUCACUCAAUCCAUCAUUGAUUCUCAUGGAUCUUAUCGCCUAAAUUUUUCUCAAACCCAAUAAUUUUCUCUAUUUCUACCACCACCAAUCUAGUCAAACUCUCUA
rnacentral:lncRNA from 1 species